rnacentral:rRNA from 1 species
GUGCCAGCAGCCGCGGUAAUUCCAGCUCCAAUAGCGUAUAUUAAAGUUGUUGUGGUUAAAAAGCUCGUAGUUGAACCUUGGGCCUGGCUGGCCGGUCCGCCUCACCGCGUGCACUGGUCCGGCCGGGCCUUUCCCUCUGUGGAACCCCAUACCCUUCACUGGGCGUGGCGGGGAAACAGGACAUUUACUUUGAAAAAAUUAGAGUGCUCCAGGCAGGCCUAUGCUCGAAUACAUUAGCAUGGAAUAAUAAAAUAGGACGCGCGGUUCUAUUUUGUUGGUUUAUAGGACCGCCGUAAUGAUUAAUAGGGACAGUCGGGGGCAUCAGUAUUCAACUGUCAGAGGUGAAAUUCUUGGAUCAGUUGAAGACUAACUACUGCGAAAGCAUUUGCCAAGGAUGUUUUCAUUAAUCAGGAACGAAAGUUAGGGGAUCGAAGACGAUCAGAUACCGUCGUAGUCUUAACCAUAAACUAUGCCGACUAGGGAUCGGACGGUGUUAUUCAUGACCCGUUCGGCACCUUACGAGAAAUCAAAGUGCUUGGGCUCCAGGGGGAGUAUGGUCGCAAGGCUGAAACUUAAAGAAAUUGACGGAAGGGCACCACCAGGGGUGGAGCCUGCGGCUUAAUUUGACUCAACACGGGGAAACUCACCAGGUCCAGACACAAUAAGGAUUGACAGAUUGAGAGCUCUUUCUUGAUUUUGUGGGUGGUGAUGCAUGGCCGUCUUAGUGUGGGUGACUUGUCUGCUUAAUUGCGAUAACGAACGAGACCUUAACCUGCUAAAUAGCCCGCAUUGCUCCGGCAGUGCGCUGGCUUCUUAGAGGGAC